UACGUAGGCAGCAAGCGUUGUUCGGAGUUACUGGGCGUAAAGGGUGCGUAGGUGGGCAGGUAAGUCAGUGGUGAAAUCUCCGAGCUUAACUCGGAACUGCCGUUGAUACUAUUUGUCUUGAAUAUUGUGGAGGUAAGCGGAAUAUGUCAUGUAGCGGUGAAAAUGCUUAGAUAUGACAUAGAACACCAAAUUGCGAAGGCAGCUUACUACACAACGAUUGACGCUGAGGCACGAAAGCGUGGGGAUCAAACAGG
rnacentral:rRNA from 1 species